AGUGACCGGCGCAUUGAUCGAGUCAUUAACAGGAGGAGGCAGAACUAUGGCUUGGCGAGAUUUUCUACAUCCUGAAGUACAUGUGACUUCAGAAGACUUGGAAUGCAGCGCACAAGUCAUAUGAGCUACUUUUAUGGUACUUUUUUAUUUGUCAUUAUCUAUAAUUAAUGGCAAAAUUCAUAUUUUUCCUUUCCAGGUGAAUUAAUCGUUUUAAAUAUUCACUAGUGAGCUACAAUAAGGACAUUUUGG
ensembl:lncRNA